AGAGUUUGAUCAUGGCUCAGAAUCAACGCUGGCGGCGUGCCUCAGACAUGCAAGUCGAACGCGAAAGUCUUCGGAUGAGUAGAGUGGCGCACGGGUGAGUAACACGUAGGUAAUCUACCUCUAAGUGGGGAAUAACUUGGCGAAAGGCAAGCUAAUACCGCAUAUCGGAAAGCAGCAAUGCGCUUAGAGAGGAGCCUGCGGCGGAUUAGCUAGUUGGUAAGGUAAUGGCUUACCAAGGCGACGAUCUGUAUCCGGCCUGAGAGGGCGGUCGGACACACUGACACUGAAUAACGGGUCAGACUCCUACGGGAGGCAGCAGUCGGGAAUUUUGGGCAAUGGGGGAAACCCUGACCCAGCAACGCCGCGUGAAGGAUGAAAUCUUUCGGGAUGUAAACUGCAAAAGAAUGGGAAGAAAUUUGACGGUACCAUUUAUAAGCCCCGGCUAACUCUGUGCCAGCCGCCGCGGUAAUUC
rnacentral:rRNA from 1 species